rfam:Bdellovibrionales bacterium RIFOXYC1_FTLL_37_79 rifoxyc1_full_scaffold_1131, whole genome shotgun sequence.
GACGGGCGUGUCGAGGUUGAUCACCCGGCCUCGUAAAAAGGUGAUUAAAUUGUAUAAUUGGCGAAAGUAAUUUUGCUAUGGCUGCCUAGUUAAUUCUAUUGCAGCAUUGAGGGCCCGGUUACCAAGAAACAGAAGCCGGAACCACUGUUAAGGUUGCAGUCAAACUAGCCUUAGUGGAUUCGUCGGGAGACCACGUUAAAAAAGCACCGAGGUUCGCACCGUGCAUGUAACGAUGCUAGUCCGGUCCCGGGACAAUAAUCAGGGAAUACACACGUAGUCCGCUUUUUCACAAUCUUUUGGACGCGAGUUCGAUUCUCGCCACCUCCACCA